UACGUAGGGCGCAAGCGUUGUCCGGAAUUAUUGGGCGUAAAGAGCUCGUAGGCGGCCCUCUCAGUCGGAUGUGAAAUCCCCAGGCUUAACCUGGGAACGGCAUCCGAUACUGGAGGGCUUGAAUUCGGGAGAGGGAUGCAGAAUUCCAGGUGUAGCAGUGAAAUGCGUAGAGAUCGGGAGGAACAUCAGUUGCGAAGGCGGCUCUCUGGACCAGCACUGACACUGAGGCACGAAAGCGUGGGGAGCAAACAGG
rnacentral:rRNA from 1 species